GCGGAAUUAGCUCAGUUGGUUAGAGUACUAGCAUGACACGCUAGGGGUCACAAGUUCGACUCUUGUAUUCCGCA
rnacentral:tRNA from 1 species